rfam:Myotis lucifugus cont2.17461, whole genome shotgun sequence.
GCCGGUUUGGCUCAGUGGGUAGAGCGUCGGACUGCGGACCAGAAGGUCUCAGGUUCGAUUCCAGUCGGGG